AUCCUGUGCUGGAAUGUGCGCGGUUUAAACUCUCCGGCAAAGAGAGAGGCAGUUUGUGAGGUAGUUGUAGCACACCGCACCGCUAUCUUAUGCCUUCAGGAAACCAAAAUAGAUGCUUGGACACCUGUGCUGGUUCGUGACAUCGGUGGCAGCACCCUGCAGGGCUGUGCGGUUCUACCGGCCAUCGGCACCAGAGGCGGAGCAGCCAUUCUCUGGAACAAGGAUGUAGUCGCCGUCAACUCCCAUGCCAUCGGGUAG
rnacentral:rRNA from 1 species